rnacentral:rRNA from 1 species
UACGUAGGGUGCAAGCGUUGUCCGGAAUUAUUGGGCGUAAAGAGCUCGUAGGCGGUGUGUCGCGUCGGAUGUGAAAUCCCGGGGCUUAACUCCGGGUCUGCAUUCGGUACGGGCAUGCUGGAGUUCGGUAGGGGAGACUGGAAUUCCUGGUGUAGCGGUGAAAUGCGCAGAUAUCAGGAGGAACACCGGUGGCGAAGGCGGAUCUCUGGGCCUUGCCUGACGCUGAGGCGCGAAAGCUAGGGGAGCGAACAGG